AACACCAAUAGGGACUGACGUUUCUUUAUAAUUAACUGUAACUUCCCUGGAUCAACAAGGUUUCUAGGUGACUCCUCUAUUGGUUCAGUUGCUUGGAUGUAACCAUCCAUGUACUCUCGCUGUCGGUGACGUCGGGUGCGUUCACGUGAUCUCCUUCUCCCCACCACUAUAUCAUCAGACUCCUGCGAUGCAUCAUAUUCAGAGGUAGAACCCUUUUUCCUAACCAUUCCCACUGUCGUCUGCAUUUGCCGAAAUAACAAUAGUUGAGAUCUAACUCUUGAUUCAAGCACGGAAGAUCAAAGUCGUUUACCAUGCUUCUUCAUGGUGACUUGUGUUGCCGAUACCCUCUCGUGGCGAUUUUUCCGCGUUAACUUCCUCCUUGUCUUAUGAUAACUACGUGUAACCAGGGUAUCUUCUACCCUUUGAGCGUGGCCUACGCUUGGAAGCUCAAAAACCCAAGGAUUGAAAGAAGCUUCAGGAGUUGGAGUGCUCACCAUAUGUUCGACAGAAUUCCUAAGAGAAUUUUCAGUGAUCGCUUGAGGUGUCAUGUCUGGUCUCGCGGUGUUGAUCUGCUUUGGUGUAAGACCUGGUGGUGUAGGAUCGGACCUCUUUCCCGGAGAAAACAUGGGUGAACCGCGCGUUGAGACUGCUAACGGCGGCAAGGUUAAGAUCCCGUCACUUGUAGCCUCGAUUGGAGCCGCAUGUUUGCCACAGAUCUCUGGAUUCAAG
rnacentral:lncRNA from 1 species